rnacentral:lncRNA from 1 species
AAGUGCUAGGAUUACAGGCGUGGGACACCGUGCCCAGCCCAGGUCCUUGUGCCCUUCGAGGGUGCAGACGGUGGUCUCUGCAUCUCCUUUGCUCCACGUGCCAGGCACAGGUGCCUGGGAACUACAGAAGAGGUUGAAUAGAAGGCUUAACAAUGAGUUUGGAAGUCAGGCACAGAGGGUUUGACUUCCGGGGGCACCCCUUGCCAGCUGUAUGACCCUGGCAAGUCACUCUUCCUUUCUGCGCCUUGGUCCCUGCAUCUAUAAAUUGCUGUAACAAGAGGAUUCAGAAUCUGAGAGAUACUGCUUAAAAGGAAAAUGUCCUGGAGGGAUGCCAAACUGCACUCUCAAAGGUUUCGGCUGGAUGUGUGAUAUUGAUGGGGAAACCCAUUUCAGUGUCUCUAAGAAGGGGGUAGUGCUCCUCUUUCCAGGAUGUCUCUGGGGAAUCUAGAGCACCCCAAAGUGUGGUAUGCAUAGAAACAUUGCUGCUUAAGGUCUGAAUAUUUGUUCCUCAUCAAUUCAUGUGUUGAAAUUCUAACCUCUCCUGAAUGGGAUUAGUGCUCUUACACGAGAGGCCUGACAGAGACUCCUCACCCUUCCCACCAUGCGAAGACACAGUGAGAAGGCUCAGUCUAUGAACCAAAAUGUUGACUGUCACCAUUUACUCAAUCUGCUGUCGCCUUGAGCUUGGACUUCCCAGCCUCCAGAACUGUGAGAAAUAAAUUUCUGUUGCUUAUAAGACAACCAGUUUAUGACAUUUCGUUAUAGCAGCCUGAAUGGACUAAGACACCCUUCCCACCAUGUGAAGACAGAGUGAGAAGGUUCGGUCUAUGAACCAAAAACUGACCCUCACCAGUCAUUGAAUCUGCUGGUGCCUUGAUCUUGGACUUCCCAGCCUCCAGAACUGUGAGAAAUAAAUUUCUGUCGUUUAUAAGCCACCUAGUUUAUGAUACUUUGUUAUAGCAGCCUGAAUGGACUGAGACACCCACCUUAAAAAGACAGUACCUCAAAACCAUAAGGCAGGAUAACUGCUAGCCUGAUAUUAAUAGUUUUUAAUUUACUGCUAGCUUCAUUUUGCCAACUGAGUCAGAUAUUUUUUAAAAGUUCUGUUUGCAAUUAUUUUAACUUAGGAGAGGAGAAAAAGAGCAGGCAUCAGCCUGCAUAUGGGAUAUUUCUGAAAGGAUUUUGCUAUGAUUAGCUUGCCCUCAGGGAGAGUAAAAUGUGAGUUAUACAACCAUGCUUAUAUUUAGAUGUUGUUGAUGUUCUGGCUUAUAAUAUAUGAUGAGUUAGAAAUAAUUUUGUACUGAUCAGCCCAACCAGAAAAUAAACAUGCUUUAACUU